rnacentral:rRNA from 1 species
UACGAAGGGGGCUAGCGUUGCUCGGAAUCACUGGGCGUAAAGGGUGCGUAGGCGGGUCUUUUAAGUCAGGGGGUGAAAUCCUGGAGCUCAACUCCAGAACUGCCUUUGAUACUGAGGAUCUUGAGUUCGGGAGAGGUGAGUGGAACUGCGAGUGUAGAGGUGAAAUUCGUAGAUAUUGGGAAGAACACCGGUGGCGAAGGCGGCUCACUGGCUCAUUACUGACGCUCAGGCGCGACAGCGUGGGGGAGCGAACAGG